rnacentral:rRNA from 1 species
ACAUACGACCAUAGACUCAAGAGAACUGGGCAUCCUGUCUGCUCUGCCAUAUAUAAUUUGAGAUCGGUGGAUUAGUAGUUGGGUGGGUGACCACCAGCGAAUACCCACUGUUGUAGGUU